GGGUUGUGAGGUUAAGCGACUAAGCGUACACGGUGGAUGCCCUGGCAGUCAGAGGCGAUGAAGGACGUGCUAAUCUGCGAAAAGCGUCGGUAAGGUGAUAUGAACCGUUAUAACCGGCGAUGUCCGAAUGGGGAAACCCAGUGUGUUUCGACACACUAUCAUUAACUGAAUCCAUAGGUUAAUGAGGCGAACCGGGGGAACUGAAACAUCUAAGUACCCCGAGGAAAAGAAAUCAACCGAGAUUCCCCCAGUAGCGGCGAGCGAACGGGGAGGAGCCCAGAGCCUGAAUCAGUGUGUGUGUUAGUGGAAGCGUCUGGAAAGGCGCGCGAUACAGGGUGACAGCCCCGUACACAAAAAUGCACAUAUUGUGAGCUCGAUGAGUAGGGCGGGACACGUGGUAUCCUGUCUGAAUAUGGGGGGACCAUCCUCCAAGGCUAAAUACUCCUGACUGACCGAUAGUGAACCAGUACCGUGAGGGAAAGGCGAAAAGAACCCCGGCGAGGGGAGUGAAAAAGAACCUGAAACCGUGUACGUACAAGCAGUGGGAGCCUCUUUAUGGGGUGACUGCGUACCUUUUGUAUAAUGGGUCAGCGACUUAUAUUCUGUAGCAAGGUUAACCGAAUAGGGGAGCCGGAGGGAAACCGAGUCUUAACUGGGCGUUAAGUUGCAGGGUAUAGACCCGAAACCCGGUGAUCUAGCCAUGGGCAGGUUGAAGGUUGGGUAACACUAACUGGAGGACCGAACCGACUAAUGUUGAAAAAUUAGCGGAUGACUUGUGGCUGGGGGUGAAAGGCCAAUCAAACCGGGAGAUAGCUGGUUCUCCCCGAAAGCUAUUUAGGUAGCGCCUCGUGAAUUCAUCUCCGGGGGUAGAGCACUGUUUCGGCAAGGGGGUCAUCCCGACUUACCAACCCGAUGCAAACUGCGAAUACCGGAGAAUGUUAUCACGGGAGACACACGGCGGGUGCUAACGUCCGUCGUGAAGAGGGAAACAACCCAGACCGCCAGCUAAGGUCCCAAAGUCAUGGUUAAGUGGGAAACGAUGUGGGAAGGCCCAGACAGCCAGGAUGUUGGCUUAGAAGCAGCCAUCAUUUAAAGAAAGCGUAAUAGCUCACUGGUCGAGUCGGCCUGCGCGGAAGAUGUAACGGGGCUAAACCAUGCACCGAAGCUGCGGCAGCGACGCUGAUGCGUUGUUGGGUAGGGGAGCGUUCUGUAAGCCUGUGAAGGUGUGCUGUGAGGCAUGCUGGAGGUAUCAGAAGUGCGAAUGCUGACAUAAGUAACGAUAAAGCGGGUGAAAAGCCCGCUCGCCGGAAGACCAAGGGUUCCUGUCCAACGUUAAUCGGGGCAGGGUGAGUCGACCCCUAAGGCGAGGCCGAAAGGCGUAGUCGAUGGGAAACAGGUUAAUAUUCCUGUACUUGGUGUUACUGCGAAGGGGGGACGGAGAAGGCUAUGUUGGCCGGGCGACGGUUGUCCCGGUUUAAGCGUGUAGGCUGGUUUUCCAGGCAAAUCCGGAGAAUCAAGGCUGAGGCGUGAUGACGAGGCACUACGGUGCUGAAGCAACAAAUGCCCUGCUUCCAGGAAAAGCCUCUAAGCAUCAGGUAACAUCAAAUCGUACCCCAAACCGACACAGGUGGUCAGGUAGAGAAUACCAAGGCGCUUGAGAGAACUCGGGUGAAGGAACUAGGCAAAAUGGUGCCGUAACUUCGGGAGAAGGCACGCUGAUAUGUAGGUGAAGCGACUUGCUCGUGGAGCUGAAAUCAGUCGAAGAUACCAGCUGGCUGCAACUGUUUAUUAAAAACACAGCACUGUGCAAACACGAAAGUGGACGUAUACGGUGUGACGCCUGCCCGGUGCCGGAAGGUUAAUUGAUGGGGUCAGCGCAAGCGAAGCUCUUGAUCGAAGCCCCGGUAAACGGCGGCCGUAACUAUAACGGUCCUAAGGUAGCGAAAUUCCUUGUCGGGUAAGUUCCGACCUGCACGAAUGGCGUAAUGAUGGCCAGGCUGUCUCCACCCGAGACUCAGUGAAAUUGAACUCGCUGUGAAGAUGCAGUGUACCCGCGGCAAGACGGAAAGACCCCGUGAACCUUUACUAUAGCUUGACACUGAACACUGGUCCUUGAUGUGUAGGAUAGGUGGGAGGCUUUGAAGUGUGGACGCCAGUCUGCAUGGAGCCGUCCUUGAAAUACCACCCUUUAAUGGCUGGUGUUCUAACGUUGGCCCCUUAUCGGGGUUGCGGACAGUGUCUGGUGGGUAGUUUGACUGGGGCGGUCUCCUCCUAAAGAGUAACGGAGGAGCACGAAGGUUGGCUAAUCCUGGUCGGACAUCAGGAGGUUAGUGCAAUGGCAUAAGCCAGCUUGACUGCGAGCGUGACGGCGCGAGCAGGUGCGAAAGCAGGUCAUAGUGAUCCGGUGGUUCUGAAUGGAAGGGCCAUCGCUCAACGGAUAAAAGGUACUCCGGGGAUAACAGGCUGAUACCGCCCAAGAGUUCAUAUCGACGGCGGUGUUUGGCACCUCGAUGUCGGCUCAUCACAUCCUGGGGCUGAAGUAGGUCCCAAGGGUAUGGCUGUUCGCCAUUUAAAGUGGUACGCGAGCUGGGUUUAGAACGUCGUGAGACAGUUCGGUCCCUAUCUGCCGUGGGCGCUGGAGAACUGAGGGGGGCUGCUCCUAGUACGAGAGGACCGGAGUGGACGCAUCACUGGUGUUCGGGUUGUCAUGCCAAUGGCACUGCCCGGUAGCUAAAUGCGGAAGAGAUAAGUGCUGAAAGCAUCUAAGCACGAAACUUGCCCCGAGAUGAGUUCUCCCUGAGACUUAGAGUCUCCUGAAGGAACGUUGAAGACGACGACGUUGAUAGGCCGGGUGUGUAAGCGCAGCGAUGCGUUGAGCUAACCGGUACUAAUGAACCGUGAGGCUUAACCUUACAACGCCGAAGGUGUUU
rnacentral:rRNA from 1 species